CUUGGCUAGGGAACAGGCAUUCUGCAUCCAGGAGUUUAAAGACUGAGUAUCUGACUUAGAAGACAUCCACUUGCCCAGCCUCUCACAGUGCUGGGAUUAUAGGCAUUCUGCACGUUCUUAAGAGAGGACCACAGAUAGUCGUCUCCUUUAAUAGGAGGGAAACAGCACAUGAACACAGAUGCAGGUGUAUGACAAACCAUGCCCAGGGAAGAACCUUGUCUUAUACGCUAUGAGA